UUGAAACACCAGUUCUGGUAUGAUCACCAAAAUUAAGCAACGUCAAGCCUGGUAAGUGCCUAGAUGGGUGACCACUUGGGAAUGCCAGGUGGUGUA